GACGAACGCUGGCGGCGUGCUUAACACAUGCAAGUCGAACGAAGUGGCGAACGGGUGAGUAACGCGUAAUCAACCUGCCCAUAGGGGGGGGAAACCAGUUGGAAACGUGUGCUAAUACCGCAUAGUGAUGAGGGGGAUUGCGUGGGAUUAGCUAGUUGGAGGGGUAACGGCCAACCAGGGCGAGGAUCCGUAGCCGGUCUGAGAGGAUGAACGGCCACAUGGGGACUGAGACACGGCCCAGACUCCUACGGGAGGCAGCAGUGGGGAAUAUUGCGCAAUGGACGAAAGUCUGACGGAGCCACGCCGCGUGAGUGAUGACGGCCUGCGGGUUGUAAAGUUCUGUCAGUCGGGACGCGUUACCGGAAUAGAAAGCCAGGGCUAACUAGGUGCCAGCAGCCGCGGUAUAC
rnacentral:rRNA from 1 species